CUAAGUAAAAGAAGGUUAUUAUUUUUAUCACUUAGUUUAAUUCAUCUAUUGGGAUAAUAUAUUCUUCCCUCUUUUAAAUUGUUAAGGUAGUGAAUGGCAUAGAUUGUUCUAAUGUCAACUCUCUUGUGAAUUCUGGAGUAAGUCCAACUUUCGUAUUAUCUUUUUAAUAUGCUAAUGUACCAGCUUGCUCUUACUAUGUAAAGAACCACUUCAAAACUUAGUAUUUUAAAACAACAGGUAUUUGUUAUUUUUCAGGAUUAUCUGAGUUGGUUGUUUUUUAUGUUGGAGCUGGCGCAGCUGGUCUGCUGAUCCAGGAUGGCCUCACUCACGAGUGGAACUUCAGCAGGAAUAACUGAGAUGACUGGGAUCAUCAGGGUCUUGGUAUAGAUGGGGUUCUCUGGAAGCAGAUUCUGGGAUGGAAUUUGAGGUGCAAGAUGUUUAUUAGGAACCAAUACCUGUGAAAGAAAAGGAGAAAAAGGAUUGUUGCAGAGGGAGAAGUUGAACUGUGAUGCAGGCUUCACGAAGACUUGGCACACUUUGUAGGGAGCUCUGGAGUGAACAUUGCCCAUGUGUGGUGUCCAUUGUCAGGCUGAAAUGGCCAGUCUUUAUACACACACCUCAUUCACAAGGGUGUGACCUCUGCUGCUGAGGUGGACCCUGAGGAACUGACAGCUGAAGACUGCUGACCACCUUUCCUACAGCUGGACAACCAGACCUUCUUUGAAGGGAAAUUGGGCAACAAAUCUCCAUGUCUACCACAGCCUUCUCUCCAGGAGGUUAACCCUGACUCGUUGUUCCUAUGGUGGCAGAAGGGUUUGUAGCAUAAAGAUAGGGCAAGCAUAAUGUGCAAGUACAUUCCAAACAUCUACUAACCUUUUAUUUGCUAAUGUCUCAUUGGCCAAAGCAGUCAGAUAGUCAAUAUCAGAUUCAAAGCUUGGACAGACAGACUUCACCUCUUAAUGGGAGAAGUGACAGUCAUAUUGUAAAGGAGUGUGCCUACAUGGACAGGAAGAAUUUCAACACUUUAGUCUGAAGAGUACCUUCUUAUAAAGAGGAAAUAAUGGAAAGAGUGAUACCUGAGCCAACUACCUGACUGAAUCCUAGAACCACCACUUAAUACUUGUGGGAUCCUGGAAAUGUUAUUUAACUGCUCCAUGCCUCAGUUAUUACCUCUAUUUUACAGAUGAAGACCUUGUACCUAACUCAUGGGGUCAUUGUGGAAAGUGAAUAAGUUAGUAUAUAAAAAGUGCUUAGCUCAGUGCCUGACACAACAUAAAUAUUCAAUAAUAUUUGUUAUCGUUAAUUAUCUCUUUCUAUGCACUUACUGGCCUUCAUAUUUUCUAACUCUGAAGAGAUUAUCUCUUUCUGUUGGCAAGACUGAACUGAGAACACUCUUUUCUUUUUGUCUGUCUAUUUCUAGGACACUUUUAAGUUUGUCAUUCAUCUCUGCAUUUCUGCCUCUUAAGGUUGGAGGACCCUUUGCUCAAUGGUCAGAAAAUAAACAAUUAGGCAUAAGAGAAAUGGCCAACAGGAAGGGAACAGGAAGAACACUGGCAAUAUAUUAGUUUAGAGCAAUUUUGAAAAUUAAAAAAAAAAACUAGAGAAAAUAGUAGAAACUACCAAAAAAAGAGUUAAUAAUGAUCUAGAAGACUAGAAACUAUGCUAAAAUCCCUUGAAACUAGUCCCCUUUUCCUAACAUGAGAAGAAAGUAAUGUAGCAUCUUUCUACUAGCCCAGAGAUAAAUUCUUUUAUCCUUCCUUUCUUCCUUCUGGAUUUUCCAUAGUUAGCUCUAGAAAUUCUCAUUCUGGUCUACUUACCUAUUGAUACAAUCCUGUCCUCACUAGUCCUUUAGGUGAAGCUCUUGCCGCAAUCAUCUUUCCAGAGCAUUGCACGUACUGCUUCCCAUUUUUGUGUGCACUGCAGCAGACACUAACUGCCUUCCCAGUAGCCUUUCCC
rnacentral:lncRNA from 10 species